GAUGAACGCUGGCGGCGUGCCUAAUACAUGCAAGUCGAACGAGCGGCGGACGGGUGAGUAAUGUCUGGGAAACUGCCCGAUGGAGGGGGAUAACUACUGGAAACGGUAGCUAAUACCGCAUACCAUCGGCUGUGCCCAGAUGGGAUUAGCUUGUAGGUGUGGUAACGGCUCACCUAGGCGACGAUCCCUAGCUGGUCUGAGAGGAUGACCAGCCACACUGGAACUGAGACACGGUCCAGACUCCUACGGGAGGCAGCAGUGGGGAAUAUUGCACAAUGGGCGAAAGCCUGACGGAGCAACGCCGCGUGAGUGAUGAAGGCCUUCGGGUCGUAAAACUCUGUUAGCAGGGAAGCGGUACCUACUCAGAAAGCACCGGCUAACUACGUGCCAGCAGCCGCGGUAAUAC
rnacentral:rRNA from 1 species